CACGUAGGGUGCGAGCGUUGUCCGGAAUUAUUGGGCGUAAAGAGCUCGUAGGCGGUGUGUCGCGUCGGCCGUGAAAACCUGCAGCUUAACUGUGGGCUUGCGGUCGAUACGGGCAUCACUGGAGUUCGGCAGGGGAGACUGGAAUUCCUGGUGUAGCGGUGAAAAUGCGCAGAUAUCAGGAGGAACACCGGUGGCGAAGGCGGGUCUCUGGGCCGAUACUGACGCUGAGGAGCGAAAGCGUGGGGAGCGAACAGG
rnacentral:rRNA from 1 species